UUCUGCUUCGUUCCUAAACGAGCAAGAGGUCAAUACAUCGUCUUCCAGUCUCUAUUUGACAAUAGUGCUUCGAUUGUGCUAUGCUAUAGUUGCGAGUUGUGACAGCUUGAGACCAACGCCGAUGCUGGUGUGGUUGUUGGCUCUGCCUGAACUGUUGUUAGCUUGCCAAGAUCGGUGUGCUUUGCAGAGAGAAAAUCGAGAUUUUAUUCCUCUGUAACAAGGUUACGAUCAUCCAUUACAAGCUGUGAAGCCCAUUGAGGAACUUGGCUUUACCAAAAAGCGGUAUUGCCUUCCAGCCUACCAAAAUUGGCAAGACAAUGUACACCCCUAUUUUGUUCGCUAUCUAAUUUCACAAGGAUAAAUUCUCGAAGACUCAA